rnacentral:lncRNA from 1 species
AGCAUAGAUUUUUGAUUUGACCCCAUUCAUGUGACGCAGGGAAAACAAAAUCCAGCCGUGACAAACAGCAUAACCACAUAUAUACAUAUAGCGGCACUCUAUGUAAUACGGAAAAUGAGGCAGUGUCUCCCAAGUUUCCUGACCAGGUUUAUAACGCUCAAAGGAUGGGUUCGGAAUGUUUGAGCUGCAUUCUGGAGUUCCGGACAAGGGAUCUGCAAUAUGGUAGAUGUGUCCAUACGCAGAGACAACAGACCCGAGCGGCUUAGGUGUUUUAGGGGCAGGGAAUGUUUCAGAUGUGGUAUCCAUGGCACAGUUAUAUCCAAUAAAAGUGGGGGGUUUGGCAGCGUCUGAAUCUGAAUGUACCAUUCGAUGUAACUUGGAGUUGGAAUUGCUGAAAAUCCUUGCACACUGAGAGUGAAGAUAAGGAAGCGGCUCCUUCUCGAAGAACUGGUACACAGGUUCUAGAUCAAGAGGGACUCCUCCUUGGAGUUUUACUCGAUAGACUGCACCUGACAAGUCCAUCUCCCAACAAUGUGCCACAAGAAACACAGAUCUCGUUUCCCCCGACAUCUCCGUGGGCAACAAGCUUUUCAAGCACCUUGUGAAAAUUUGUACAUGGCAUUCAAAUUAAAUUAAAUAAUUUUUUUUUAAAUUUAUUUGUUUUCUUGAGAAAGAAUACCAAACAUCUCAUCAUCGUGUUGUGUGACCGCCGUAUGCCACUGAAGCUCAAGGGAAAAUUUUAUAGGACGGCAAUAAGGCCGGCGAUGCUGUAUGGCACAGAAUGUUGGGCGGUGAAGCAUCAACACGUACACAAAAUGGGUGUAGCGGAGAUGAGGAUGCUUCGUUGGAUGUGUGGGCACACGAGAAAGGAUAAGAUUAGGAAUGAGGAUAUCCGGGGUAAAGUAGGAGUAGCCGAAAUUGAAGGAAAGAUGAGAGAAAAUCGGUUACGAUGGUUUGGACAUGUGCAAAGAAGGCCUACUGACGCUCCGAUUAGAAGAUGCGACUAUGGGACAGAGGUUCAGGGCCGAAGGGGUAGAGGAAGACCUAGGAAAACUUUGGAAGAGACUCUAAGAAAAGACUUAGAGUACUUGGAUCUAACGAAGGACAUGACACAGGACCGAGCACAAUGGCGUUCUAAGAUUCAUAUAGCCGAUCCCACUCAGUGACUUGGAUUUUCCAAGUCUCCAACCGAGAAGUUUUCCUUACUCAGGAAAUUAAGGGAACACUACCUCUACCUACAUGCUCCACUCACAAAGCCUCAACAAAAGAAAAUUCAAAGAACUUAGCGAAGAAGGCUUUGGUGUUUUUAACACAAUACGUUGAAAUGAAGGAAAGCUUAUUUAUUGAUAUCCCCGAUAAGCUACAAAUAUGUACAUAUACAUAAGUCAAAAUAAACAAACAAAAGGGAGCCUUCACAAAGGUUGCUUAGGAGAAGUCUCAGUAGUCGGUAGAGCCCCAGAAAGAGAAGGCACCGGAGGGGGAUCAUUCGGAGCCUCAGUACUGGACAGAACCCUAGAAGGAGGAGGCAUCAGAGGUUGAUCAUUUGGAGCUUCAUUACGCGGUACAGCCCCAGAAGACGAAGGCAAUAAAUGCCUUUGGAAUAAACCCACAAAUCUCUGAUGAUCAAGUAAAACCUGACCAUCAGAUUCCUUCAUCUGGUCAAGCUUCCUCUUCAUGUUUGUAGCAUAGUCAUGUGCGAGUCGGUGCAACUGUUUAUUCUCAUGCUUGAGCCCUCUAAUCUCCUGUUUGAGACUCAUCACUUCAGCCGCCAAUGAUUCAACUUGGCGGGUUCGAGCAAAUAGGCGUUGGGCCAUAUUAGACACAGAACAUGCACACUGAACACUGAGAGCCAGAGAAUCCUUAACAGCUAACUCAUCAGACCGUUUGGAAAGUAGUCUGUUAUCUUUAGGAGUGAGAAGGUUCCUGGCCACCACCGCAGCGGUCAUAUCAUUCUUCAUCACGGAAUCCCCAACGGUAAGAGGACCAGUAGGGGAGACGAAGGAUGGACGCCAUAUGUUGUCAGGAGAAGGCGGGGCUGCCUCUUCAACAAGGUUCAAGUCAAAACGACGGUCGGAGGGGCCAGACAUUUUCAAAGGUGUUGAAGAGAGAAGAGGUCGGACAAAUCAAGAUCUUAGAAGUGCAAGAAUGGAGCUUCUACUGGUGGAGAUUCAAGUGUGCUUUGGAACUUAAUGCCAGCCCCUAUAAAAAAUCUGCACUCGACGGAGCUUCAGAAAUCGAAGAGGCGCCUGCUCAGAAAUCGAAGAGGCGUUUGCUUUCUCAAAAGCAAGGCUGCUCAGAUACCACGAGGGUCGAUCUCAAAAAUCGAAGAGGCAUUUGCUUUCUCAAAAGCUGGGUUGCGCAAAGACCACAAAGGCCGAUCUCAGAAAUCGAAGAGGCGCUUGCUUUCUCAAAAGCUGGGCUGCUCAGAGACCACGAGGGUCGAUCUCAGAAAUCGAAGAGGCACCUACUUUUCCAGCCUUGUCAGCACCUGUCACACGCACACUCAGCUUUGCGGAAAUUAUGGGCAUUCGGUCGAAGACUUCUGGUGAAGUAGAAAGCACAUGAGUCUUACUGUUCAAUCACCCACUUCCCACAUGCAACAGUAGCUCAUGGGUACCACAGAUAACUUUGCCAAAGUUAUCUGCCAAAGUUGAACACGUGAAGUUUGCAGCUCCCACUACAUUGCUCUGACCAAGAAGGGUAAAAGAAUAGCAAAGAAACAACACUAACAAAGUUUACACAUAAAUUUUGAAGGUCUAGCUACCAUAUUAUUACCCACAAGGGUAAAGGAACAGUACCACUGCUGGAUAAUUGGAAAGUCCCUGUGUGUCAACCUCUGUGCUUCAUGGCAAGGUAGACUAGCAAACAUGCCCAACCUUUAAUCACAUUCGAGAAAACACUCCCAACAAGAUUGCUUGCUCCAAAAUCGAAGAGGCACCGUCUUCCUAAUCUCGAGAGCCAGACUCCCAACAUGACUACUUUCUCAAAAAUCGAAGAGGGUAAAGGAACAGUACCAUUGCUGGAUAAUUGGAAAGUCCCUGUGUGUCAACCUCUGUGCUUCGUGGCAAGGUAGACUAGCAAACAUGCACAACCUUUACUCACAUUCGAGAAAACACUGCCAACAAGAUUGCUUGCUCCAAAAUCGAAGAGGCAUCGCCCUCCGAAUCUCGAGAGCCAGACUCCCAACAUGAUUACUUUCUCAAAAAUCGAAGAGACACCGCUCUCCGAAUCUCGAGAUCCAGACCCCCAGCAUGAUUGCUUUCUCAAAAAUCGAAGAGGCAUCGUUCUCCGAAUCUCGAGAGCCAGAUCCCCGAUAGGAUUGUUUGUUCGAAAACCGAAGAGGCAACACUUUCCCAACUUCAAGAGCCGGAUCUCCUUGGAUAAAGCUGUCUGUAAUCUUCACACGCAACAUCAGCUUUCCAGAUACCAAACCACUUUUUCAAAGUGCUCUGACAACGUUAAAACAUGUGAAGCUGACAGCUCCCACUACUGUGCUAUGACCAAGUAGGGUAAAGGAAUAGCAUUACUACUUGUUGUUAAGGAGACUCCUAUAUAUGUCGACCUUCAUCCCCAACGGACAGGCAGAUCUGCAAAAAUGCUCAACCCUUCCUCAUAUCUGAGAGGGCACUCCCAACGAAGCCUUUCGAAAUAUUCAGCUUUCUUUCCCCCCGAUAAUACCUCUGCAAACAAGCUAUACUAGAGCAAGAAUAUCUCAUAUCAUCAGGGUUAAAAGCAAGAGUAUCCCAUAUCAUGCUUUUUCCCUGUCUUUUCCUUUGACCUUGUUCUUACCUGCAAGACAAGGAGAAAGAGAGCAAUCAGUCAGUACUUGGAAUCAAGCUUCCAGCCAGGAACUGACUGCCUGGAACCCCUUACCUGAUUACUUACCUGACAUUGCUCUCGAGUACUCAUCUUCAACAUCUUAUGCUUCCAGGGAAGAUACCGCAUCUGCCUGAGGAACAGAUAGGGCAAGGGAGAAGAAUACAAGGAAGCAUGUGGAGACAAGCGUAACAGCACACGUGCCGAUACAUCCAUUACUCUGUCAAAGCAAAAGUAUCCCAUAUCAGCAGGGUCGAACGUACUCUAGAUUUGAUGGACUUGUUUUGACCCUCAAAUUCUUCAGUCGGCCUUAUACUCUGGAGGAAACCAGAAAACCCUCCAGCUCAGUUCAAGAAUAAGCCUGUGGAAAGUUACUUCUUCAAAAGCAAAAGUAUCCCAUAUCAUCUCUUCUCAUUUUCUUCUCUUUAUCUUUCAUGCUGCCUGCAAGAUAGGGAGACUGUGAACAAUCAGCCGGAGCUAUGAUUGCUUACCUUGUCUGUCACCUCUUUCAGCAGAUCCCCUAGCUCGGCGACUUGGGGGACUCCUACUACAUGGUUUGUAUCGCGCUUGACCAAGCCUGAAACUACAAGUAAGCUUCAAGUGAAAUUGAUACAUUACCUUGUGCAUCUCCACCAGUUAAAGAUACCACCCCUGGAUUGAGGAAGAGUACUUCCAUAGAAGAUGCCCCAUUUACCUAUGAGACAGAUAAGGCACGUCAAUACGAUACCACACUCCGAUACUUAGAAGUUUCGUGAUUACGAGAUCAUUCUCCCACAAUAUUUCCUAAUGUCAUUUGUACUAAAUCAUUCACUUGUACUCACUAAAGGAGAGCUUGAACCUAUGUACUUGUGUAAACCCUUCACAAUUAAUGAGAACUCAUCUAUUCCGUGGACGUAGCCAAUCUGGGUGAACCACGUACAUCUUGUGUUCGCUUUCCUAUCUCUAUCCAUUUAUAUACUUAUCCAUACUAAUGACCGGAGCAAUCUAGCGAAGAUCACAAAAAGCGACCGUUUUCGCUACCUAAGAUCUAUCGUGCAAGAGAACGGAGAAUUAGAUGGAGAUCUCAACCAUAGAAUACAAGCUGGAUGGAUGAAGUGUAAGAGUGCAUCCGGCGUGUUGUGUGACCGUCAUAGGUCACUGAAGCUCAAGGGAAAAUUUUAUAGGACGGCAAUUAGGUCAGCGAUGUUGUAUGGCACAGAAUGUUGGGCGGUGAAGCAUCAACACGUACAAAAAAUGGGUGUGGCGGAGAUGAGGAUGCUUCAUGGGAUGUGUGGGCACACGAGAAAGGAUAAGAUUGGGAAUGAGGAUAUCCGAGGUAAAGUAGGAGUAGUCGAAAUUGAAGGAAAGAUGAGGGAAAAUCGGUUCCGGUGAUUUGGACAUGUGCAAAGAAGGCCUACUGAUGCUCCGGUUCGAAGAUGUCACUACUGGACAGAUAUUCAGGGCCGAAUGGGUAGAGGAAGACCUAGGAAAACUUUGGAAGAGACUUUAAGAAAAGACUUAGAGUACUUGGAUCUAACGGAGGACAUGACACAAAACCGAGCGCAAUGGCGUUCUAGGAUUCAUAUAGCCGACCCCACUUAGUGGGAAAAGGCUUUGUUGUUGUUGUUGUUGUUGUUGUUGUUGUAUAACUAUUCUCUGCUUUCCUUUUGCAAACUUUGAAUGAAAUUAAAAUAAAAUACACAGUGAUAAACGAAUAAAUCAUAAGUAAUAUAUUUCCUCAAAAAGUGCCACAGAAAACAGACAUUCCUAGUUCAAUCAACAAAUACACUUUCACAGAGGGAAAAAAAAAAAAAGCUAUUAAGAAGACAAAAUCGACUAGAUCCUUGACCUUGGUCCACCGAUAAGCUUGGGGAUGCACGUCGGCAGAGAAGGCCGCUGACGGAGCACAAUUUAGGGUCAGGGUUAGGGUUCACAACGAUAGGUUUGGGGUGGGGAUGCACGGCGGCAGCGACGGCCGCGGGCGGCAGCGACGGCCGCGGGCCGAGCGCAAUUUAGGAUCAGGGUUGGGGUUGCGGCAGCGGCUCGAGUUUAGGGAUGGAAAUAAAAUCUCAAUGUCACCUAGAGAGAGGGAGAGUGAAGAGAGAGGCAAUAACGUGGGUAGCAAGGAAGAGGGGUGCAAAUAAAAUCUCCCCAAUAUUAAGAUUAAAAAUGAUAAGUUGGGUGUAGAGUAAGGAUAAAUAAGUCUGAAUAAAAUUUCGCAAUAUUAUUUCAAUUAAAUAGCCGGUCGAAGUAUAUAUUGCUUUGCCAACAGAACGAAUCAUGAAUGACUUUCCAAGAUAAAUAAGGGAGUGUUUGGUACAUCAGGUUAGACCAAUUGAUAAGAAUUGUGUGCAUUCUAGUUCUGAAUUCGUUAUUUUAAAACAUCGUAUUGCCUAAGUUAUAAUUAGUAAGUGGAUGUUGGAUGCAACUCAUAAUAAUUUUAAAAAAAUCGUACAAAAAUUCUCGGCGGUAGAUUUUCAUCCUAAAACUGUUGAUGUGACAUCAAAACAGUUUUUCAAUUGAUAAAUUUAAUCUUAAGAGUUAUUGCACCCUUGGAAAUUUAUUUUGUUUCAACUUCAUUGUGUUCUCACAUAUCUCCUUGAGAUUUGAAACUUUAAAAUAAAACCCCAUAAGCUUUUCACACGAUCUUUAAUCACAAAAUGACGUGACAUGAAUUAUCAAAUAAGAAAAAAAAUAAUCUCACCAUGUUAAAAGUUAAAACCAUAUUUUUACUUCUAGUAUUAUCUAUAUGUUCAGGGCCGACCCUGAAAGUAACCGAAAAACCAAAACUACAUCUAAAAUUCAUCAAUAAACACGCACAAUUAUUAAUCCAAAGCGACCAAAUUUCACAAAAAAAAUGUCCAACACACAACAGAUUAUCAAAAUUUAAGAGUAGGUUGAGCAGCCCACCUGGAGAAUGGGCGAUUGAGCGUGGUCGAUGGUCCAAGCCUCGGGGGAGAGGUCCUUUGCAGUCGGAGCCUCGAAGGAGAUGGGUCGGCUAUACGUCGGUCUCAAUCAGAAGGGUGAUAGAGGGUGGGUCUAGGGUUUGCACAGACGGUGGAUGGGCGAUUCGAGUGAGGGGCUAGGGGUGUAGAGACAUGGGGUGGGUGCACGAAUCACCCUAAAUUUGAGGAUUGUUCCGGAGAUUGAGAGAUGGGAGGAGCGGGUCUAAAUCGAAAUACUGGGGAGGUAGGGUUGUGGUACGCCCAAUCGGUAGUAAGAGCUGAAAUAUUAAAUAAAUGUAACAGUGCAGAAAUUUAAGAGAGUUUUAACGAAAAGCACCGGUACUGUUUAUUUUAACGAAAAACCAUAUUUUUAUACUAAAAAAUCAAUCCUGAUACUAUUCAUUUUACCCUUUAUUUUGUCCUUGUCAUUAAAACUCAAAGUUUUCAAGUUCUUUUCAUUAAUUUUCCUGAAAUUUAAAGAGAGAAAAGGGAGAAAAAUAAGGGAAGAAAACUGCUUUCAUUCAUCUCUGACCUCUUCUCCACGGAGGCCAGAUAAAUACAUAUUUAGGGGUGGGUUCGGUACGGUUACCGUAUCAAACUCAUUGUACCAAUUACUAUACCAAACUUUCGGUUUGGUAAAAUCUAUUACCAUUACCGUACCAAACUUUCGGUAUACCGAAGUGCGAUAUUGCUAAAAGUUCGGUUAGCAUGGUAUGGCAAUGGUAAUUGCCAUUUAUUUUGGGACAAAAUCUGUUUUUGUUUUUUUAACCCAAUUCGAGGGCAAAACUUUUUUUUUGUACCUUUAUCUCAUACAUUAUAGAUUAAAUUCAUCUAUUAUUCAUCAUUCACAAUUCACACACAUAAUAAUUCAAAUGAUGCAUCAAGAUUCAUCAUGAAAAUUAAGCUUCAAUCCAAAUAGAAGUUACGAAUCAAAACAAAUAAAAGUUAACAAUCCAAAUAUAAAUUAAAGUUUCAAACCAAAUGAAAAUUGGAAGUAAACUUCAAAAAGGAGAAUUCAUUGAUCAAUUAUUCAAGCUUAAAAUGUCGAAACUUUUGGAAGAGGCAUUGAACUUGUAGAAGAUUGAGUUUGUGUCAAGCCUACAUUACAAACAAAGAAAACAUAUUAAUUAGUAGCAAGAAUAAUUAAAGUUGAAAAUAAUUUAAUAACAAAUUUACUAAAAAAAUUAAAGCAUAUCUUUCUUGUUUUCUCUUCUUCCAUUUCCUUGUAAAAUUGAAGCAUAUCUUCCGUUGGUUCCUUGUAGAAGUUUAAUUUAUCUGCCCUAAGCCAACCACUAGUACGCACUAGUGCCUCCAUUAUUUUAGGAGUCAAUGAUACCCUAAAGGGUCCACAACCCUCCUCCCUAGGUUAAAUGCAUUUUCACUAGCAAAAGUAGAAGUGGGGGUUACAAAGAUAUUUUGGCUAUUUGUGAAAGAAUUAUGAACUCUUUUGUGUUUAAUUUCCACAAUUUCAAGAGAUCAAAGUCGCCAACAACAAUACUAAUAUAAGUAGGUUUUUAUUUUCAAAUUAUUGGAAUAUUAUAAAUAUGUGUUAUAUAAUUAUCUAUUAUAUAAUUUCUAAGUUAUAUAUUAUAUUGUAUUUUCGGUAUGGUACGGUAAUACCGUGGUAAUGGUAUCCAUUACCAAUACCGUACCAUGAAAUUUCUGUACGGUACAAUACCGUACCAUUACCGAUUGAUACAAAAAAUUUGACACAAAAUUGGUAUGGCACGGCAAUUUGGCAAAAAAAUCCACCCCUAUACAUAUUUAUAUCAAGUCCAAAUUGGAAAGAAACCCUAGCUAAUUGGGGAAACGCCAGUCGAGCUGUGUCGUUCCAAGAGCCUGGGAAAUGGGCUUGAAAACAAGGCAGGGUGAUUAUUCACAAAAGGGCCCGUACUGGGGGAGAAGUGUUAGGCCCAAAGGGUUGGUUCUAACAGGUUGUUCACCCUAAAUUUGGGGAUUCGUUAAUCAAUUCCUUAUCUCACUGUUGGAUUUGCCAUUCAAUUACUUACUGUUUAAUUUUCCAUGGGGGUUUGGGUGCGCGAUUACAGGGAGAGAAAGAGAAGGUGGGUGCAGUCAUGUUCUCUUUCUAAAUCAUUCCUUUCCCAAUUCUGUUAAGAUUUAUCUUUAGAUUAUUUAUUUUUCAAUAAAGUGGUUGCAUGUAGUUAGGAGACCUGUUUACCUAGUCUACAGGAGAAUCCAUAAGUUGUAGGAGUCAUGGUUAGGUUUAAUUUUUCAUGCUGGAGUCGUGGUAUGUAGUUCCACAAAAUCUACAAAGUGGACGUUAUGUUUCUUGCAGCAGUAGACUUGUUUUCUUAUUAAGUUGUAAUUUUCUCAUUCAAGUUAAUUAAUGAAAUUCAGAGCUUCUUAGCCAUCUCUUUAGCAGUAAGCUUAAGUUUACAAUUUCAAAAGUUUAACCAACAUUUGGUACCAAAGCCCCCACUGGGCCUGUGUCGAGAAUCUCUCAUAGAAGCAGCAGCUUUUCAUCCUUGCAGUAGCAAGCAUCCAUGGCGUCUGACAAGCCAGCAGAGAAUUUCAUUCAACCAGCCAUUCCUCGCUUCGACGGUCACUACAAUCAUUGGAGCAUGUUGAUGGAGAAUUUCCUAAGGUCUAAAAAGUACUGGGAUCUUGUGGAAACGGGACAUACUGUACCCGAAGAAAGUACGAUUACGGUUGCGCAGCAACGGAAGCUUGAAGAACUGAAAUUGAAGGAUUUGAAGGUAAAGAAUUACCUAUUCCAAUCAAUUGAUCGUGCUAUUUUGGAGACUAUUCUCCAGAAGGAUACUUCCAAGCACAUUUGGGACUUCAUGAAGAGAAAGUACCAAGGGUCAGCAAGAGUGAAGCAUGCACAGCUUCAGGCCCUAAGACGAAACUUUAAGACUCUCCAAAUAAAGAAUGGAGAGUCUGUCACCGAGUAUUUUGCAAGGACCAUGGGGAUUGCAAACAAAAUGCAAAUCCAUGGUGAUAAGCUUGAUGAUGGCUCCAUUGUAGAGAAUAUCUUAAGAUCUAUGGCUCCAAAGUUCAACUACAUCGUUUGCUCUAUUGAAUAGUCAAAUGACACUGCGGAGAUGUCGAUUGAUGAGCUUCAAAGCUUAUUGUUGGUCCAUGAGCAGCAGCUGAACCGUGGGACCACAUAACAUGUCAACUUAGAAGAACAUGCUCUGAAAGCUUCUACCUUUUCUGAAUCCUCAAGCUCAAGAGGAAGAGGCCGAGGUAGAGGUAGAGGAAGAGGUCAAGGUGGUCAAGGCAACCGAGAUGGAGACAGACAACACCAAAGUUCCAAGAGACAUGAUGAUCACUCUCAGAAUAGAGGCAAAUGACAAGUUGACAAGUCCAACAUCCAAUGUUAUAGGUGUGGAAAUCUUGGGCAUUAUCACAAUGAAUGCUACACGAAUCUACUGAAAGACAAAGAGAUAAGAGAUAAGUCCAACUUUGCUGAAAAAAAUGAUGAUGAGACACUGUUGAUGGCUUUCCACGUCAAGAAGAAGAUUGAUUCUGAAGUCUGGUAUGUUGACACAGGUUGCAGCAAUCAUAUGAGUGGCUGUAAGUCAUCUUUCUCAUUUUUGGAUGAAAACUUUCAAACUACCAUGAGCUUUGGGGAUUGGUCAAGUGUUAAUGUGAUGGGAAAUGGUGAUAUUCAAAUUAGGACUAAGAAUGAUUUUGUUGAAACAAUUUCGAAUGUGUUUUAUGUGCCUAGUUUGAAAACAAUUUUGUUGAGUGUUGGACAAUUACAAGAAAAGGGUUAUAUAAUAACUCUUCAGAAAGAUGCAUGUGAGAUAUAUGAUCCAGUAAGGGGUGUCAUUGCUGUUGUUCAAAUGAGCCAAAACAGAUUGUUUCCGCUGAAGAUCAAAAUUGUCCAAACUUGUUUGAUGGCCAAGGAAGACAACUCAUUGUGGCUGUGGCACCUUCGAUAUGGCCAUUUGAAUUUCAAUGGCUUGAUGACACUGCAUCAUAAGUAAAUGGUGACUGGCCUUCCUAUGAUCACACCUUCAUAUGAAGUCUGUGAAGAAUGUGUUGUUAGCAAACAACAUCGUGAUCAAUUUCCAAAAGGAAAGGCGUGGAUAGCUCAAAACCUAUUGGAGCUAGUGCAUUCAGACAUAUGUGGUACAAUCAGUCCACUAUCGAAUGGUAAAAAGAACUAUUUUAUCUCUUUUAUUGAUGACUUCAGUAGAAAGGCUUGGGUGUAUUUUUUUGCAAGAAAAAUCAGAGGUUUUUAAUGCAUUUAAAAGUUUCAAUGCACUAGUUGAGACCGAAAGUGGAAGAAGGAUCAAAACCUUACGAACCGAUCGUGGUGGUGAAUAUUGCUCAAAAGAGUUUGAAGUUUAUUGUGAUGAGCAAGGGAUUCAAAAGCAACUCACUACCUCAUAUACACCCCAGCAAAACAGUGAAUCAGAGAGAAAAAACCGAACCAUUCUCAACAUGGUCAGAAGCUUGCUAGUAAAGGGAUGAGUUCCUAAAAGUUUUUGGCCUGAAACAGUUUUGUUGUCCAUUCAUGUUUUGAAUAGGUGCCCUACUUUUUUUGUUAAAAACAUGACACCUGAUGAAGCUUGGAGUGGACGGAAACCUUCAAUGGAUCCCUGAAGAGGUGGAUUAUCAUCAUCAUCAUCGUCAAUAAAUAAUUUUUUUUUUUUUUUUUGUAUAACUAUUCUCUUCUCUGCUUUCCCUUUGCAAACUUUGAAUGAAAUUAAAUUGCCACAGAAAACAGACAUUCCUAGUUCAAUCAACAUUUUCACAGAGGAAAAAAUAAAAAAAGCUAUUAAGAAGACGAAAUCGACUAGAUCCCCGACCUUGGUUCACCGAUAAGCUUGGGGAUGCACGUCGGCUGAGAAGGCCGCUAACGGAGCACAAUUUAGGGUUAGGGUCAAAGAGUGGAGAAGGCCGCUGGCGGAGCUCAAUUUAAGAUUAGGGUUGGGGCUGCGGCAGCGGCAGCGGCUCGAGUUUAGUGCUGGAUUUGAAAUAGAAGGAGAGAGAAGAGAGUGAUAGAGAAUGUGGGGUGAGAAAUUUUAUUUAUUUAUUUUUAAUUAGAUAUAUGUUAGGAUUAUAUGUAGGUGUUAUUUUGAAAAAAAACAGUAAAAUUUGGUGUGUGAAAUUACAUUUCAGCCCUAUAUUUACUAUUCAUGUUCUGUUUUAAUUAGAGAGUUAAACUGGUAAUUUCAUAAAAUUUUGGUUGACAAUAAGUGUUUUAUUAAUUAGUAUAGAUUAACAAGGAAAAUGGGUGCGAAUAAAUGAUAAAUUAGGUGUAGAAUAAAGAUAAAUAGGUCUGUUCUUCAAAAAAAAAAAAAAAAAAAGGAUAAAUAGGUCUGAAUAAAAUAUCUUAACAUUAUUUCAAUUAAAUAGCCAGUCAAAGUACAUAUUGAGUAGCCAGCACAACGAAUUAUGAAUGACUUAUCAUCCCAUUAAGAAUUAUAUGAAUAAUGGAUCAUCUAGAAUCCAAACCUCAUUAGGAUUUACACAUCACUAAUAUUCAUAAAAAAAAAAUUAUAUUUUUUUCCUAAUUAUAUCUUUAAUUAUUUCUUCUGUUUUUUUUUUUUGUAAUCAGGGUUAAUCACAUAUUAUUGUGCCUUACUUGUAGAUAUAUUAUGUUUUUGUCCUUUUUAAUUAGGUUUCAUAUCUCACUUGUAGAUGUAUACAUUCAUAUAUUUAUUAUGUUGAGUUAGGGUGUCCAAAUGAAUUUGUGAGAGCAUAUUAGUUUUUUGUUUAGAAAAUAUUAAGUAGAUUUAUUGGAAAUUUUUUUUUGGAAAGAUUUAUUGGAAUUAGAAGAUUUUAAUUUAUUUAUAAUAUUUAAAAAAAAAAAUAUAUAUAUAUAUAUAUAUAUAUAUAAAAUGUAUAUGAAAGAAAUAAAAGUGGAUAAAAGAUAAAUUAACAGGACGAACAAAGCCACCAGUUCAUCUGAAAAUGCAAAAAUGCUCAUACAAAAACAUAAUUUUUACAGAUUUAAGUAAGUCCCAAGUAAAAAAAAUUGAAAUGGAGAUAAUUCAUAAGCAACUCUUACGAAAUAUUGUCGUUGCAAUGAUUAAAGUAAUUCAGAAAAGCAUCCCGCUCCGGCCAGUAAGUGUUCCGAGUACUCAUUAGUUGCGAAGCAUGUUCCUAAAAUGCAUUAGCUCCUUCUUGAAUUCAGAACAGCUAACAAUCCCAAGUUUCCUUUGGACAUUGAUUAAUCGGAGCUGAUCGCCCCCAAUGACAUAGUUCGUCAUUUCUUCAAGCUCUUCGUGAACGUAAUUUGCCAAAAAGAGAAUACAAAUAACCCUCGGUAAGUUUCUGCACAGAAUCGUAAGCAACUACAAAUAUUAAAAUUAUAUUGAAAGAAAAAGGUAAAAAAACGAAGAGAAACAGAAACCUACGAAAUAUUUGUGUGCCAAAGAGGCACAAGGAGUCCAGUCCCAUCAUUAAAAUUUCUUCGAUGGGCGUCAUAAUUUUGGUCUGCCUACACCUAUUCAAACCAGUUCAGGUGAGGUCAAUGACUUCUUGAGAUUAUGUGUGUUUCUAGUAAUGACAACCGCGAUGUACAAGUUACCAUUAUAGAUGAUAAAAAUGGGAGACUUGAAGGAAACUUAGGCCGUGAAGCUGCAGUAAAUACCAAAAGGACCCAACUCAUUGGUGUCCACAGUAUAAACAGUUGAAUGCACGGUCUUGAUCAUGGGACAUCCUUCUUCUCCGGCAACGAUCUGAAAAGUGGUGAUACAAAUAUCUUGAUGAACAAAAGAGUACUCGUCGUCUCUUGUCUGGGCAAGACAAAAAUCCUUGUCUCCCAGAUGAACCAAUUGCCCUGUCACUCACUGAAUCAAGAUGGCUUAAGAGCACUAUCCAGGACUUGCAAUGGUAUGGGUGUGCUUAGUCUACAUGCAAUAUUGCAACCCUCUUCACCAUAACUGAUCCCAAAUGAGAACGCUAGCACUUUAUCACAAGUUAACAACAAGCCAUAGAUAGUCUGGUCUACAACCACGGCCCUCCCAACGAAGCCAGUGUGACCUGAUGUAACUCAAUGCCAUUCUUGUGUCUUGAUAUGAAAAGCAUAGAUUUGUAAUUUGACCCAUUCAUGUGACGCAGGGAAAACAAAAUCCAGCCGCGACAAACAGCAUAACCACAUAUAAACAUAAAGCGGCACUCUAUGUAAUACGGAAAAUGAGGCAGUGUCUCCCAAGUUUCCUGACCAGGUUUAUAACGCGCAAAGGAUAGGUUCGGAAUCUUUGAGUUGCAUUCUGGAGUUCCGGACAAGGGAUCUGCAAUAUGGUAGAUGUGUCCGUACGCACAGACAACAGACCCGAGCGGCUUAGGUGUUUUAGGGGCAGGGAAUGUUUCAGAAGUGGUAUCCAUGGUUAUAUCCGAUAAAAGUGGGGGGUUUGGCAGCGUCUGAAUCUGAAUGUACACUGAGAGUGAAGAUAAGGACGCGGCUCCUUCUCGAAGAACUUCUACACAGGUUCAAGUAGAUCAAGAGGGACUCCUCCUUGGAGUUUUACUCGAUAGACUGCACCUGACGAGUCCAUCUCCCAACAAUGCGCCACAAGAAACGAUCUCGCUUCCCCCGACAUCUCCGUGGGCAACAAGCUUUUCAAGCACCUUGUGAAAAUUUGUACAUGGCAUUCAAAUUAAAUUAAAUAAUUUUAUUAAAAUUU